rnacentral:rRNA from 1 species
AGGAUAAACGCUGGCGGCGUGCCUAAUGCAUGCAAGUCGAACGGACAUACUCGCAAGAGGGUGUUAGUGGCAAACGGGUGAGUAACACGUGGGGAUCUGCCCAGUAGUGGGGAACAACUCCGAGAAAUCGGAGCUAAUACCGCAUACGGUCUGUGUUGAGGAACACGAGACUAAAGCCAACGCAAGAAGGCGCUAUUGGAGGAACCUGCGGCUGAUUAGCUAGUUGGUGGGUAAAGGCCUACCAAGGCGAUGAUCAGUAGCUGGU